GACACCUCCAUAGUUGGCAUUAAAAUGUAGCCUCCUAAACCAGGGUUUCCCAAACUCUCUCCUCUUGCCGCCCCCCGGGGUGCUUUUGCCCAAGCACUACACAGCUGAUUCAGAUAAUGAAAGCUUGAUGAAGAGUUGGUUAUUUAAGUCAGCUGUGUAGUUCUAGGGUAAAACUAAAUGGGGCCCCAGGACUGAGUUUGGGAAACCAUGUCCUAGACUACGAAUCACUUCAAGUGAAUUCAGGGAUGAAACUAACAGAUCUAGAAGUGACAGUUAAACAUGUCCUUAAAUGUAAGAGGUUGGACUAUUUCUCGAUACAAAAUGUCUUGAAUUGACUGGUACCGAAUUGAACUCUUUCAACCCACUUCGGGGCACUUGACUUGGAUGUCUGGAAUGUGGUUGGAUGAUUGUGUGUCUGGGGACCAACUUUCCCUUAAAAAUGUCUGGUCUACUGAGCGCAAACUUCAACAUUGUGACAAUUCGGUGCAACUUCCAGCGUAUGUUUACUGUGAACACUGAGGCUGUACCCACUUUUAAUUUGCCGUUUUAACGGUGGCCAUAGAGGGCUACUGUGGCUAUUUGAUCACAAUGUAGGCCUACCAGAAUGGCCUACCAUCAAAAACAAUGGAGAAAAUACAUCCCUUAACAUUUUAACAUGGAAAUAGCUGUUCUAUCAUUCAGCCUACAGUAGCAGCCAGUGUGUGGUGUUCAAUGUAGGCCUACAUUCCACACUUUAGAAAGAAACAUGCAGGGCUUGACAUGAACCUGUUUAAUCACUUGUCCUUCAGACUAAGAGGUGACUGAAAAUGUUGUUGAUGCAAGAAACCACUACAAAAUAAAUGCAUUAUUAUUCCCAUAAUAUUAUUACAGGGAAUCAGACAAAUAAUGCUACCCUCUGCCUAUUGGCUUCGCUUAUUCAAGCCUGUCUCAAAAUACAACACUGCCCCUUUAAGACAAAAAAGCUCUUUACCUGACUCGCUUUUCAAAGAUGCCUAGGAAUGUGCAAGUUUUGUGCUCUUGUAGGAAGCAAUGACUCCCCUAUUUCUGACUACAAAUAAUCUAUUAGUGGGCUAAUAACUCACUAACUAGCAAAACAUAUGAACAAAAUGUACAUUUGUGGCUACAUGCAGCUCUCGGUUUGAUCUCAAAACAAGCUCAUCUACUCACGACUGCUCAUGCUGUAAUUCCAGUCCAGUUGAAAGUAAAUGGCACAGAUCAAUAUAUGGCAAUGGUCUAUUUGCAUGUAGGCCUGCUCCAGCUCUGAUUGUGUUUGCUGCAACGGUCUGUGUAGAGUAUGGGCUGAGUAGUGUGUCAAUGCAAUAGAAUCCUACUCUGAUGUGUUCUACCUACAACAAAAUCUCUUGCAUAGUUCGUUUUAUUUGGGUAUGUUGCAUUGAAUGUGGCUAAUAUUGUGUUGAUUCAAUCACAAUUGCCACAGUAAAGGGAAAUGUUGAUGGUAUUAAAAGGGCAAACUAUAAAACAGUGAGGUAGGCUUUAUGAUCACACUGGUAAUAGAUCCGUUGUUUUAUUACUUGAGGCACAGCUGAGUGAGCAUACAUUUUAAAUAAUUAGCUUUUUAUUUUUAUAUUACUGGGCUGAUGGUGCCUGGCAUCUGAUGGUCAGUCUCAGCGGAAGGAGAGAGCAGCAGACUGAGGGUCCGCCUUUCAUCCUCCCUCUGCUCUCCCUUUCCUCCACUGAUAACGACCAAAAAGGGACACCUUCUUCCAGCUGAUUGGGAAACUCGUGUCACACUGGCAGUAUCAUCUUUGCUGUAGCAAUCUUUUAUGCCUGCUACGUUACUGCAGGCCAGUGGUAAGCCUUAUAGUGCACUGGAUUUGCUCUCUGGACCUGCCGGGAAGGCAGAGUUUGUACCUUCAGACAGAUGAAAUGGUUCAAACUGGCAACAGUUGGCCUACCUGGCACGCAGGGCAGCUGGAUUGGGUGCACCUACCGCCAACAGCCUGAGCUGAAUAAAAAAAUAAAUAGGAACACAAGGUUUUAUCGUUGGGUUUUUUACAGAAAUGUUUGGAGAUCGACCGGUUGGUGACCACUGCUCUAUAAAGUUAAGUGUAGUUGAAUCUCGUGCUUCUCUCUGUGGGCUGAUCCCGGGGGAGCUGCGCGGCGCACUCAGGGCUAUGGUCUGGGUGUGAUAUCCUGCUUAAUAUACUGCUCGAGGUGGGCUGAUGGUUGUGUGUGGGUUGGAAUAUUCACUGAAGCAGUUCUAUUCUCCAAGGGAGAUAGCUAUGCUGAGCCACAACAUUAUUGCAUAAUAUUACUUAUCAGUAUCAGAUGAAUUAUAUUAAUAAUUAGCCAUUGUAGCAGCAGGACUAACUGACUAUCCAGUAUCCACAGUGACACACACUACCUGGAAUGUGUUUGGCAAAGAUUAGAUAUCGUCAUUUGUGACUGACAUAUUUACCCAAAAUGACAGUUCUACUGUGUGAAAGUAAAUAAUUGUUAAGGUAACAGGACAGAAGUGAGGAUGACCAAAGACCUGAGCCUGGAGUUCAAAUCCAGUGGUAUUUCUUUGUCUUAGGAAUGUCAAAUUUGCUAAUUGAAGUUGUUUAACCUGUUUACACUCAUGGGAAUUGGCCUAACUGGAUAGGGCUAAAUUGAAAUGUUUCAUUACAAAAGAAGUAUGAAAAGCAUAUGCAUUACCAUGGCAGCAAUUGAAAGGGGGCAUGUAUUAGACCAAAGGUGUGUCCCCAACAGUUCACCUGAUACAAGACUGAAUCCAAACAUUACACUGUUGAUUUUAUGUGCAUUUUACAUUUACUGUACUUUUCGCUGCAUUUGUUGAAGAUAAAAUAUUAAAAUACCCUGGAUACAUUCAGUAACAUGGUAUAGCAUAUUCCUGGAAAAUGUGGGGUAGGUGCAACGUAAGACAAGAAAAUGACAAGGGUUUGAGUGAGAGGACUAACUGGUGUCUCCAAGUGGACACACACCUCCAGUGUGCAUAGUUCCUAAGCAAUUUCAAUACACUUUUAUGACUCAAUUUAGAGCUGGGCCUGUGCGAUAUUAAAUUUUUGAUUAAUACAUUUUUUUUGGCGUGAUCUUCAGAAUGCCUGUAUUGCACAAAUCCAUUUACAAAAGAAAAGAAAAAAAUGUAUUAGCAUUUUAUGUCCGCUUGAUCUCAUGUUGUGUUUUUGGUGUCGGCUCCUUCUGCGAUGUGUUCAAUGACUGUGGACUGUGUGCAUCUUAAUAUUUACACACACCAAGCCCCUCCCACUGCUACUCACAACAAUAAGGAAGAGACAUUUCUUCAGAUCACUAUUUGCAUUUCAGGUUUGAUCCAACAGAAUUGUUCAUAUGGACACUGAAACGCAUUGAGACAUUAUUUUACUGUAAUAGAGAAGUUAACUUUUCUAACAAUACCAUUUUUAUUUCUCAACUCCUCACAUUGAGAGCAGACACUACUAAAAGGGGAGUAUCAAUUCACAUUGAUUCUGGAAAAUGUAUGCUCAGUUUGUCGUGGUACCGCUAGCAACAUGUUAGCCAAAGACUAUACUAGCUGUAUUUUUAUAAAUGUGCAAUAAGAAUAAAACACCAUUUAUAUAUGGAAUUGGCAACUCAUUCUGAGAAAUAAGGAAGGUCACUUGAUUUCAACACGUGGACAGGCUAGCAUGCUGUUCAAACAGUUGGAGAUGGACAGAAGGGUGUGUUCAUAACAAUUCAACUCUUCUACCUUGUUAGCUAGCAAAUAGAUCUGAGUUGGCAAACCAUGAAAUACAAAUAUUAGCUGGCUACUCACUAGCAUGUGGGCUUAUGCUUAAGAGAUUGUUUAUGAGACCUGUGUUAGUUUUCUAUAAUGCCUGCUACAAGAAAUUAGUUUUAGUGAAUGUGCAUUAUGCAUCGUUCUGUUAAAAUUUGUAACAAAAAGGGCAUUUUCAACCAGGGUUUCCGUUAGCCGGCAUUUGGCAAUAAUAUUAUUAAUAUUAGAUAAAUAAAUCCCAUAGCAAAAUAAUGCUUUUUAGCCCAUUAAUUUAUGGAAAUACCAGUCGCUGUAAAUGUAUUUGACCGGUCUUAUCGAUCUAUAGCCCUCAAUCUCAACUCUGGACCUCGAAGCCAAUUCCACUUUUUUUUUUUUUCAUUGUUCCCCUCUAAUCAGGGACAAUUAAUUGUCAGGUAGAACACAAAACCAGCAGGCUCAGGACCUCAUAGAGUAAAAGCUGAUUUAUGCUUGAUCCAGUAAUGUGGUCCGGAGGCUCCAUAUGGAGCGUGUGAAGCAAUUGCGUGGACUCCGUAGGCUUGCAGAGGGAUAAUCGAGCUCCAUACAGCGACGCCAUGCGCCUCCCAAAUUUUGUAACAAUGUGGAGGGCUCCAUAGAGCUGCGCAUUGACAUGAUUGGUUAACGGUAGGUGGUUGCAGUACAUCCUGUAUAAACACAAACUCACUUCCUUGACAAACAUGGACAACUUUGACGAAAGCCUAUCAGAGCAAGUUCACAAAUAUAAUGCAUCUUUAUGAUACCUUGUGUAGGGAUUUCAAAGAUGUAAAAAUGAGUUUGAACUCCUGGAAAGAGAGAGGGGAGGUAAUGGGGAUAAGGUCAUUGGAAUAAGACCGUGGGGAAAGGACACUGGAUUGAUGCACAUUCAACAAAUCUGAUCUAACAAAGUGGAUAUUUGUCAACUAUGUCAUGAUUGAUGUAUUGUAACAGGCCCACAAUGUGGUUACUAAAAUGUAUUUGGCUGUUUUCGCAGCAUAACAUUUUAUAAGUUGUCCCUUUUCAGGUUUAGAAAAAGUGACUGCUAAAUGUUAACUCCCGUUCGUAUAUGCUGGUAGCAGAGCUAGCAUACAGAAAUCGGUGGUGGAAGUCAGUCGUUUUUAACUGUAGUGCAGUUGAUUGACAUGAACAUGUAUUGGAGUUGACAUCCAUACAAGCAUUACAUUUACAUUUACGUCAUUUAGCAGACGCUCUUAUCCAGAGCGACAUUACACUCUGAUUUUUACCUCAACAUAGUACGAAAUAGACAUAAACAAUAGCCUAAAUGUAGGCAAAUUUUGAGGGCAAAAGGGGAGGGGGGGUACAAUAUGUAAGGCCUUAAAACCUUCAUCAUGUGCGCGCCAUACAGCUUUGUUUACAAACUGUAAAAUGGCUCAAGCGGAAUGUGGCAGAACUAUACUGGUAACUAACCCCUUUUCAUCUGUGUUGUUACUGUUAGCUACCAGGCUACCUACUAGCACGGCAGAAAAGGCACACUUGUGACUGAAUGCCAUAGUGUUCAUUUAAUGUUAUACAAUUAUCUGAAGAAUGAAGACAUCCGACAGCAGUGGCUACGCAUUCAUUUUGCAUGACAGGCUGCACCAGAAAUGAUGAUCAUGUCACGCGUGUGUAGUGCAACUUCGCUCGAAAUAUGCACUAUAAGUUGGGGAGAACACUCGAUGUGUCUUGCCAGGAAGCUAAUCCUGAAGACGGAUGUUUUACCAUCAUUGAAAUGGAUCUUGCAAGCGCUGACCAUAAUGUAAGUAUCAGAGUUUUAGUCUGAUGCUGUGGCUGUAACUGUAACUGUUUUGACUUGGGAAUGGUAUAUUUUCUGUAACACACCAAUGUUUUUUCUUCAACAUCCCUAAGCCCUCUAUGUUGAGUCUGAGAACUGCCAGCACACAGCUGACAUGAAGGAAUGUUGGCCACAAAGGGAUUUGAGCUUCCCAGGCAACCACCACAGCCGGAAUGCUGUGAUACAAAAUCUGCUUUAGCAAGGAAAGAAGGGAUAUCCUGUGAAGAGACCCAACAUAUUGCUAUGUAGACAGGCUCCUGGAUCUCCUCUUCAACGAGGUCACCCUUGAUCCAGUGCAGUAUGUGGGGAAGCUGUGCGAGCUGUCCAUCCCAGGACCCCUGUAUGCCCAGUGUGAGAGGCCUGACUAGGAGCUGUCCAUCCCAGGACCCCUGUAUGCCCAGUGUGAGAGGCCUGACUAGGAGCUGUCCAUCCCAGGACCCCUGUAUGCCCAGUGUGAGAGGCCUGACUAGGAGCUGUCCAUCCCAGGACCCCUGUAUGCCCAGUGUGAGAGGCCUGACUAGGAGCUGUCCAUCCCAGGACCCCUGUAUGCCCAGUGUGAGAGGCCUGACUAGGAGCUGUCCAUCCCAGGACCCCUGUAUGCCCAGUGUGAGAGGCCUGACUAGGAGGAGGCCAUAGCUGGAUUUGUCUCCCGCUACAAUCUUGAGGGUGACUGAAGCCUGCUUGAUUGAAGCGGGGUAUAUGGUCACCCUCCUCUCCCGCUCUCCUCCCCAUCAAUCUCUGUAGUUGGUUGCAUUUCCUAAACACUAAGUAAUUCAUUUUACAUGAUAUGUCACUUUUUUUUCCAUUUUUUUUUUUUUAAGCAUUCGGAUUGGAGAUGAGUGUUAAAUUGUGCGAAUCAAUGGGGUCCUGCACACUGUAGGGCGGCCGGGUGCCUAUAUUAGGCUUAUGGCUUUAAUCAUUUAUGUCAAAUAAUGUCUCACUAUUGUUUCUCACCUUUAUUUCUCAUGAGUGUUCUUGUUGAUACAUUUUUCCGCUAUACUGGCCUAUUGUAAAUGAUCAAUUAAAUGUCUGAUAAAUAAAUACAAUUCUUGUCAUUAAUAAUGAUAAUGCAGAGGCACCAAUAAAUUGUCCAGUACACUUAUUGUAUUCCUACUUGUCAGGCCUAUACAGAGAGAACAGUCGCUAAGUGCGUUGUUGGAGCUAAUAGGAUCGAAAGAAGGGGAGCGUUGCUCUCGGUUCAGCUUUUGCCAUUGAAAUCUUUCCUUUACCCCCUAGAGUCGAUGUCAGCGCCGCCACUGACAUCUAAUUAGCAUAAAACAAUUGCCAUAAAUUCGUCAGUAUAGGCUAGAGAUGUUUUUUUUGCUGCAUGGGCUGUCUCACUUCACUGCAUCCGCAAAUGUCGCCCUUCCCCAUCUGCAGUGAAUGGUUGCAGAGCUAGAGCGGUGUUUGUCAGACACCAUGAGACAUCCCGUAAAUCGGUCUUCUCACAAAAACGUCUGUAGCGUCCGAACCUACAAACUAUAAUAACCCCUCUAUGAAAAGAUGAGACUCUCACGAACACAGGAUAGAAAUGUUUUCACAUUUAUUCUGUUAAAAACAGAUGCCUUAUUUACAAAGCUAUUCAGACCCUUUGCUAUGAGACUCGGCAUUGAGUUUAGGUAAAUCCUUUUUCGAUUGAUCGUCCUUCAUGUUUCUACAACUUGAUUGCAGCCACCUGUGGUAAAUUCAAUUGAUUGAACAUGUUUUGGCAAGGCACACAUAAGGUUCCUGUCUAUAUACAUUGAGGGAAAAAGUAUUUGAUCCCCUGCUGAUUUUGUACGUUUGCCCACUGACAAAGAAAUGAUCA